rnacentral:rRNA from 1 species
CCUACGGGAGGCAGCAGUGAGGAAUAUUGGUCAAUGGACGAGAGUCUGAACCAGCCAAGUAGCGUGAAGGAUGACUGCUCUAUGGGUUGUAAACUUCUUUUAUAAAGGAAUAAAACGAGGCACGUGUGCCUUUUUGCAUGUACUUUAUGAAUAAGGAUCGGCUAACUCCGUGCCAGCAGCCGCGGUAAUACGGAGGAUUCGAGCGUUAUCCGGAUUUAUUGGGUUUAAAGGGAGCGUAGAUGGGUUGUUAAGUCAGUUGUGAAAGUUUGCGGCUCAACCGUAAAAUUGCAAUUGAUACUGGCAGUCUUGAGUACAGUUGAGGUAAGCGGAAUUCGUGGUGUAGCGGUGAAAUGCUUAGAUAUCACGAAGAACCCCGAGUGCGAAGGCAGCUUACUAAACUGUGACUGACAUUGAUGCUCGAAAGUGUGGGUAGCAAACAGGAUUAGAUACCCUAGUAGUC